ensembl:misc_RNA Y_RNA Y RNA
GGUUGGUCUGAGUCCAGUGCUGUUUGCAACUAAUUGAUCACAACCAGCUAUAGAUUCCUCUGUUCCUUUUCCACUCCCAUUGCUUCAUUUGACCAGCCUUUA